CAGCGCGCUCCGCCGGCCGCCAGGGCGCGCGGUGGCAGUGGUGGGCAGAGCGCUGCGUCGGGCGGUUGUGACGCACGGGGCGGGCUGAGGCGGCGGCGGAGGACCUGGUGCCGGUGCCGGAGCCGGAGCCGGAGCCGGAGCCGCUCCCGUCCCGCAGCCGGGCGAGCGGCGCGGCGCGGCCAUGGAGGCGCCCUCGGUGCCGGCCGCCUCCACGUCGGGCGCGGGGGGGCGCGGGCCCAUCAAGGGCAUCCUGAAGAAGAGCGGCGGCGCGCUGUCGGCGGCGGGCGCGGCCCCCGGGGCGCGGCGGGCCAGCCCGGCCCGCGACGAGGACGAGCACGGUAAAAAAUCACAGAAGUGGGAUGAAAUGAACAUCAUAGCUACAUACCAUCCAGCAGGCAAAGAUUAUGGUUUGAUGAAAAUAGAUGAGCCAAGUACUCCUUAUCACAGCAUGGUAGGAGAAGAUGAUGAGGAUGCAGUGAGUGAUUCAGAAUCAAAUGAGCCCUUAAAAGCAGAUGUGCUGACUAAAAAACUAGCAGCUGCAGCUGAAGGUAAGGGGCCUAAGAUCUUAGCAAAGCAGGAGGAAAGCAGUGAGGAGGAGGAGGAGGAUGAAGAAUUAACACCUGAAGAACGAGAAAAGAAGAAACAGUUUGAAAUGAAGAGAAAGAUGCACUACAAUGAAGGGCGAAACAUCAAACUGGCAAGACAGCUCAUUGCAAAAGAACUACAUGGUGAAGAUGAUGAGGAUGAGGACGAAGAGAUGCAUGAUGCUGCAGAUGUAGAAACAAUGAGUACAGAAGCAACUGAACAUGGGAGGCAACUCCGUUCCCCAGCUGCAUUCUCCAGUGGAAAGAAGGCACACCUUUGCAGCAUUUUUCCAUCUGUAUUGUUGAAGUCCAUUCCACCUUGCUUCAUAACCCAGCUUCUGAGCCACCAAUGACUGAAAUUUCUUGCUGAUUGAAAUGAAGAUGGCCAGUCCAGUCAGUAAUGCACAUGCUACUAGUGACCAGCUGGGAAGUAGAGCGCACAGCAUAGAAGAAAUCUGUCCGGAACUGUAACUGCUUGUCAAAGACAAAUAUAAACACUGCUUCAUGAUUUUUGCAAUUAUGGCUCUUAAAUAUCAAGAAGCAUAUCACUUACAAUGUUGUAUUGCCAAGAAUGUUAAUUUUAGACUUGUCCAUUAGGCAGAAAAAACUGUCUAAUUGAUUUAUUCUUGUGCCUAGUAUUUCAUGGAGAAUACUGCUUCAUAAUCUGUUCAACCAGAAUGGCAUUCUCUGUAUGUAUAACGCUGAUUAUCUUGCGUGAUGUACUGUUACUCUUCAUGCUUUGAAACAAAGACAGUAUCUUUUUUUCACUAUUUAUUUGACAGUGUUCUAGGUGUGGUAUCUCCUAUGAAAGGGUUUGGAAUUCAAGAGCCAAACGGUACAGCAUACAUUGGAUUGACAUGCAGGCUAUUUAUCAGAUGUGUUAAGCAGUUGAAAAAGGGAUUAUUUAAGUUUUACAACUUUUUUGUAGAAUUUUGACCUGUUAAUCUAGAUUUCAGUAUGUUAUUACCUGUAUUUUCCCAGUCUCUAGAAGAAGAGUUGUAUUAUUUUUAAGAGCUGUGUUUGGAAUCCAUUACUAGUUUCUGACUAAGGCAGUACUAACUUCUGGUGGAGGGAUGUUUUUACACUGGAAAUGUGCUAACUUGAACUUUGCGUUUAACUGUCAUCUGUCUUUUCCAUUGGGACUGGAUUUUUUUGGAGCUGUCUUGGUUUAUCUUGAGAACACGGAAGUUCCCUCCAACUUUUCUUUUUAAAACCACAUCAACUGUCACUCUUCUUGCUCUUGUCUCAAAUUUUUGGACUUUUCCAGUUGCAUGAAGAUUAAGUAUUUACCUGAAGUAAAACACCCAUUUAGGAGGAAAUCCACGUCAGGACUGCGGAGACGGGAUGGAUUUAGGCUCUGUCUGCUCUUUAUAUAAAGAUAACUGCUGAUGAUCUCAUACCCUCUUGGGGUUUGUACCCUCUAUACUGAAAACCACUGGUCUCAAUCUCUCUGGAUCCAAUGUAACUUGCAGUAGCUGCUUUUCCAAAUGAAGGCUGUUUGGAAGGAUAGAAGACUGCCUAAUUCAAAUGCUGUUUACAAUGUAGUUGGAUAGCCCCUGUAAAGAGGGAUUUUUGAACCUCCAAAUUACUGUAAACAACUUCCCACUCAAUGGAUUUUGACUGGUGAAUGUUAUAGUAUUCAAAAUUAGUUCUUGGUUUUUAUUACACAAAUGAAGUAUACACUUAAGCUUUAGCUUGGUUAUGGAAUACAUUGUAUAUCUUAAUUUUGAUCUGAAUUUGAUAUGUUGCAAAAAUCCAUAUAAUUAUAUGGAACUAUUUUAAAAUGUCUUUUUGUCCACUGUAUAUGUGAAGUUUGAAUAAAGGAAUGAAAGUUAUUUUACAGUUA